rnacentral:rRNA from 1 species
GAUUAACGCUAGCGGCAGGCCUAAUACAUGCAAGUCGAACGGUAACAGGUCCAGCAAUGGAUGCUGACGAGUGGCGCACGGGUGCGUAACACGUAUGCAAUCUACCCUUAACUGGGGGAUAGCCCCGAGAAAUCGGGAUUAAUACCCCAUAAUAUUAUGAAGCGGCAUCACUUUAUAAUUAAAGCUCCGGCGGUUUUGGAUGAGCAUGCGCGACAUUAGCUAGUUGGUGAGGUAACGGCUCACCAAGGCUGCGAUGUCUAGGGGUUCUGAGAGGAUUCACCCCCACACUGGUACUGAGACACGGACCAGACUCCUACGGGUGGCUG